CCUACGGGCGGCAGCAGUGGGGAAUAUUGCACAAUGGGGGAAACCCUGAUGCAGCGACGCCGCGUGAGUGAAGAAGUAUUUCGGUAUGUAAAGCUCUAUCAGCAGGGAAGAAAAUGACGGUACCUGAGUAAGAAGCCCCGGCUAACUACGUGCCAGCAGCCGCGGUAAUACGUAGGGGGCAAGCGUUAUCCGGAUUUACUGGGGGUAAAGGGAGCGUAGACGGUGAUGCAGGUCAGAAGUGAAAGCCGGGGGCUCAACCCCGGGACUGCUUUGGAAACUGUUCGACUGGAGUGCAGGAGAGGUAAGCGGAAUUCCUGGUGUAGCGGUGAAAUGCGUAGAUAUCAGGAGGAACACCAGUGGCGAAGGCGGCUUACUGGACUGUAACUGACGUUGAGGCUCGAAAGCGUGGGGAGCAAACAGGAUUAGAUACCCGUGUAGUC
rnacentral:rRNA from 1 species